GAUGAACGCUGGCGGCGUGCCUAAUACAUGCAAGUCGAGCGAACAGACGAGGAGCUUGCUCCUUCGACGUUAGCGGCGGACGGGUGAGUAACACGUAGGUAACCUACCUAUAAGACUGGGAUAGCUUCGGGAAACCGGAGCUAAUACCGGAUAAUAUUUCGAACCGCAUGGUUCGAUAGUGAAAGAUGGCUUUGCUAUCACUUAUAGAUGGACCUGCGCCGUAUUAGCUAGUUGGUAAGGUAACGGCUUACCAAGGCAACGAUACGUAGCCGACCUGAGAGGGUGAUCGGCCACACUGGAACUGAGACACGGUCCAGACUCCGACGGGAGGCAGCAGUAGGGAAUCUUCCGCAAUGGGCGAAAGCCUGACGGAGCAACGCCGCGUGAGUGAGGAAGGUCUGCGGAUCGUAAACUCUGUUAUUAGGGAAGAACAAACGUGUAAGUAACUGUGCACGUCUUGACGGUACCUAAUCAGAAAGCCACGGCUAACUACGUG
rnacentral:rRNA from 1 species